GUCCCCCUAAAGUGAUCGUCCUGCCGCCGUCCAGUGAAGAGAUUUCCAGAAAGCAAGGAGCAACACUGAUGUGUGUGGCCAACAAGGGCUUCCCCUCAGACUGGAGUCUGAACUGGAAGGUGGACGGGAUCAGCAGCAGGUCUCAGUACAGCAGCGUUGCUCUCCUGGAGAAGGACGGUCUGUACAGCUGGAGCAGCAGUCUGACUCUCUCUGAGCAGGAGUGGAGCUCAGUGAUCUCAGUCAGCUGUGAGCUCACACAGAAAGACCAGCGUGAUAAAGUCACUGGAGAAUUGAGGAGAGAUCAGUGUUCACAGUAGAUCCACUCACUCUCUCCUCUGUCUCACAUCAAGACUAACAGACUAACUG